AACCCUAAACAGGGGAUCACUAGGCUCAUGGAUCGAUGAAGACCGCAGCAAAAUGCGCGUCAUAAUGUGAACUGCAGGACACAUGAACAUUAAUAAGUUGAACGCAUAUGGCACUUUAUACAC
rnacentral:rRNA from 1 species